CCAAUAGCGUAUAUUAAAGUUGUUGCAGUUAAAAAGCUCGUAGUUGAAUUUCGGGGUCAGUAGUUUGGUCGUGCCACUGGUAUGUACUGGGCUCACUGAUUCCUCCUUCCUGAUGAACUGUAAUGCCAUUAAUUUGGUGUUGCAGGGAAACUGGACUGUUACUUUGAAAAAAUUAGAGUGUUUAAAGCAAGCUAACGCUUGAAUACAUUAGCAUGGAAUAAUGAAAUAGGACGUUCGAUCCUAUUUUGUUGGUUUCUAGGAUUGACGUAAUGAUUAAUAGGGAUAGUUGGGGGCAUUAGUAUUCAAUUGUCAGAGGUGAAAUUCUUGGAUUUAUUGAAGACUAACUACUGCGAAAGCAUUUGCCAAGGAUGUUUUCAUUAAUCAAGAACGAAAGUUAGGGGAUCGAAGACGAUCAGAUACCGUCGUAGUCUUAACCAUAAACUAUGCCGACUAGGGAUCGGAUGAUGUUAAUUUUUUAAUGACUCAUUCGGCGCCUUACG
rnacentral:rRNA from 1 species